rnacentral:pre_miRNA from 1 species
AGCCAGCGCAGACUGGUAUGCAACAGCCUUCUCUGAGCGGGUAUCUCUUUGAGCGGCUCACUCUCAAGCAUGAUUAGGAAG